rnacentral:rRNA from 1 species
AUUGAACGCUGGCGGCAGGCCUAACACAUGCAAGUCGAGCGAGCGGCGGACGGGUGAGUAAUGUCUGGGAAACUGCCUGAUGGAGGGGGAUAACUACUGGAAACGGUAGCUAAUACCGCAUACCAUCGGAUGUGCCCAGAUGGGAUUAGCUAGUAGGUGGGGUAAAGGCUCACCUAGGCGACGAUCCCUAGCUGGUCUGAGAGGAUGACCAGCCACACUGGACCGGGGACACGGUCCAGACUCCUACGGGAGGCAGCAGUGGGGAAUAGUGCACAAUGGGCGCAAGCCUGAUGCAGCCAUGCCGCGUGUAUGAAGAGGGCCUUCGGGUUGUAAAGUACUUUCAGCGAGGAGGCGUUACUCGCAGAAGAAGCACCGGCUAACUCCGUGCCAGCCGCCGCGGUAAUAC